rnacentral:rRNA from 1 species
CCUACGGGGCGCAGCAGUGAGGAAUAUUGGUCAAUGGGCGAGAGCCUGAACCAGCCAAGUCGCGUGAGGGAGUACUGCCCUAUGGGUUGUAAACCUCUUUUGUCGGGGAGCAAAAGCCGGACGUGUCCGGCUGUGAGAGUACCCGAAGAAAAAGCAUCGGCUAACUCCGUGCCAGCAGCCGCGGUAAUACGGAGGAUGCGAGCGUUAUCCGGAUUUAUUGGGUUUAAAGGGUGCGCAGGCGGAUUUUUAAGUCAGCGGUAAAAUCGUGGGGCUCAACCCCAUCGAGCCGUUGAAACUGGGGAUCUAGAGUGUGCGAGAGGUAUGCGGAAUGCGUGGUGUAGCGGUGAAAUGCAUAGAUAUCACGCAGAACCCCGAUUGCGAAGGCAGCAUACCGGUGCACAACUGACGCUCAGGCACGAAAGCGUGGGUAUCGAACAGGAUUAGAUACCCCAGUAGUC